CCGCCAGAGAACUACAAGUGAAAAACUUGAAACUCAAAGGACUUGACGGUGUCCCACAUCGGCCUAGAGGAGCCUGUCCUAUAAUCGAUACCCCCCGUUCCACCCAACCUCAACUAGCAAAGUAUCAGCCUAUAUACCGCCGUCGACAGUUUACCCUAUGAAGGUCUAAUAGUAGACACAAUAGCCAUUAACGCUAAUACGUCAGGUCAAGGUGUAGCAGAUGUUGAGGCAGAGAUUGGCUACAUUUUUUAAUAUAAAAAAUACGAAUUGCACUAUGAAAUACUGCAUGAAGGUGAAUUUAGUAGUAAAACAGAUGAGAGUGUCUGUUUUAACAACGCUCUGG
rnacentral:rRNA from 1 species